rnacentral:rRNA from 1 species
UACGAAGGGGGCUAGCGUUGCUCGGAAUCACUGGGCGUAAAGGGUGCGUAGGCGGGUCUUUAAGUCAGGGGUGAAAUCCUGGAGCUCAACUCCAGAACUGCCUUUGAUACUGGGAGGCUCGAGUCCGGGAGAGGUGAGUGGAACUGCGAGUGUAGAGGUGAAAUUCGUAGAUAUUCGGAAGAACACCAGUGGCGAAGGCAGCACGUUGGCGCUCGAUUGACGCUCAGGCACGAAAGCAUGGGGAUCAAACAGG